rnacentral:lncRNA from 1 species
AUCUGGUGACCAUUGUAAAUUGGUCUGUUUCCUAGUGUUGCUCAUUGUGGAAUCAGGAUGUAACUUGGACACAGCAGGCAGUGGCAUACCUGGCUUCCUUCAUCGUCCUCUGUGAUGUCUUCCUGUCCUGCAGCUGGGGCUGCUCUCCUCAACUCGGAGCCCGCCCCACCAAGACGAAUCCUCUCUACCCAGCCUGCACUCCUGUGCAGCUGGCUGCUCUCGGCUUGUUCUGUUCUGGACUUUCUGUUUUAUUUUUGAACAAUCGCGGCCAGAACCCAGGCCGGCAGACAGAACCUGUGUGAUUGGUAGGCAUCCGACCCAAAUGCCAGACAUACAACUAGUAACCUGGGUUGGCUCCGACGACAGGAAGGUGGUUCCCUGUCACCAUCAGUCAUCACCCUCCGCCCUCCCAACCUGGCUGGCUGGCUACAUUUUCUGCUCCUGCUGUCAACUGCGGAAAUGCAAACUGUGCGUGAAGAGGUGUUUCCUGCCCUGGGAGAUCUGAGUUUAUGCCUCUGUGCCCACCUCUCC